UCUUAAAAUUUUUGACUUUAACAUUUUAAAUAAAGCAUAAUAAAAAUAUUAGUUACCUAUAAUAUUACUCGAUAAAAAAUGAGAAAUUGUUUAAAAUACCAUAAAUUGGCUACAAAUGCGAAGUUAGAUAGAUGAUAGAAGGUGCACAUGCACCCAUGACUUGUUAAAAAACUAAUGUAUUUCUUCACUAGUUGUUGUGACCCAGUAAAAACAACUACUUGAUUCGUCUCUGGUUGGCUACCAUUUUUCAAAAUAAGUUGAGUGAAAUGUAGAAUAUUUAUGAAAAUGAUUAUCUUUUAAAGAUAAAUUUGAUACGUGGUAACAAAUUUUUGGUAAAAUUAAAUUUGCUCUUGAAGUUGGUACCAAAUCCAACCAAAUUUCACGAGUAAAUGAUUUUUUACUUGAAAUAUAAGGGCCUGCAGACAAACAAAUAUGCAUUAAAUUUUCAUGAGUAAGUGACCUUUUGCUUGUAAGUAUAGGGCAGACAGAGACAAAUAUGCAUAAUGAGUGCUUGACGUUUAUACCUAAAAACAUCACGAAUGAAUUGAACCAUAAUAUACAUCAUUUAAUUUGUAAAUUAUAAGUCGCAGUUAGUUUAUAUAUACAAUGACUUUGAGUAUUUAUACGCAAUGACUUAAUUGGAUACUCACGAUAAUCUAUUGUAGCGUGCGGUGCCAAACUUGGUUAAUGACUUUGAUACUCUCGAUAAGAUUUUAACCAACCUAUUUUUUUCUGGACACAAUUAACCGGACCGUAUAACGCCAUGGCACACGCAAACAACAUUUCAAGUGGACUGUGUUGCUAAUAUUAAUCGUGGUGCAUGACUUAGUCUCAAUUGUAUCAAAAACAUAAUAUUUUGUGUUUGCAUUAGUAAAUACUAUAUUUUAGGAGACUUGUUGCCUUCCUAAGAAGGAAGGAGGACUGGGCCUCCGAUGCUUUGAGACUUAGAACAAAACCCUCUGCGUACGGCUUAUUUGGCUUCUAUUUGCAGAAGGAGGUUCUCUAUCGGUGGCUUGGCACAAGCAGUACCACCUCUAGGACAGUAAUUUCUGGGCCCUCACCGAACAUGCCCACGACUCUUGGCACUGGAAAUCACUUCUUAAGCUCAGGCCUCUGGCCCGGCCCUUUAUCACUUGUAGUUUGUACUAUAAAAAAUGGCUGUUCUGCAAGCUUCUGGUUCGAUCAAUGGACUCCGCUGGGAUCCUUGUGUAAUGACCCACCACUCCCACCAUCUCCACUUCUUUCUCCAACCCCACCACUUCCAACUUCUUCUCCACCAUCUCCACCUUCUUCCCCACCACCUCCAUCUUCUUUAAAAUUAAGAAAAAGAGAGAGAGAGAGAUAGAGAGAGAGAGAAAGAGAGAGAGAAGAAGAAGAAGAAGGGAGAAAGCUCACCUGAGCUCGUCGCCGGAGCCACCACACGCCAGGACGUCGUAAAGCUCGUCACCACCAUCAUCCGCAACCAAAGACCACCAUCGUGUUCCUCUUGUCGAGACGAAUCCAUAGCCACCAAAAACGCCUCAAACGGAGCCCGGACGAAGCCGCACGCGCCUCCGGAAGUUCAUCUCUGCGCGCACGUGUACCUCACGCGCCGCCGCCGGAAAACGUCGCCACCGCCGGACCACCGUCCCCCACCGCCGGUGACCGACACCGGUGACUCGCCGGCGACUCGGUCAACUCGGCCGAGUCAACUCAGUGAGUCAACUCGGUUGACUCGGUUAACCGAUCGGUUAGCCGGUUUAAAUUGAUUUCGGUUCGGUUAGGGUAAACCGGUCGGUUUAGUCAAAUCGAUUUCUGGUCAAAGCUUGACCGGGUUGACUUUGACCAGCGGGUUGACUUUUCCGAAAACCUUGACCAGUUCCGUUUUCGACCGUUCGAAAGGCGUUCUGACUCAGAAUUUCGAUCUGAUUUCAGAUAUGGAGUCUAUUUGAGCAGCUGGAGUUCAUAGACAACACUUUUCUAUUGCUAAGGUGAG